CCUCGAGCACGCUGGGAAACCUCAUGACGGAGCUGGCGCACAACCCGGACGUGCGGGACAUGGCGCGCGCCGAGGUGGAGCGCGUGCUGGCCAAGCACGGGGGCAAGCUCACCUACGAGGCGCUGGGCGAGCUCACCUACAUGGACCGCAUCAUCGACGCGCUUGAUUCCCUGAGUCUGCCGCACCUUUUAUUUACGUUCCAAACCCUGUGCGCCAUGUCGAUAAUUGAACAAAAGGACGUAAGUCUUUGUACCUGCAAAAUCAGAUUCCUUGUCCAAAACUACGCCUCGCAAAUUUUGACUUACCCAUCUAUCAUACCCGAUCUGCGACAGGCCUUCACACUUACCGCAAUUCUGCCUAAAGUAAAUACCUUACGUGAUUGCAAAACUUGAGAAGGCUGCCAUUUCCAAACUACUGGAGCCACAGCGGUAAAAUUUCACACUAACUCAACACUCAACACUAACCUAGCUUCACCUACCAGUAUCCUUGAGGGGAUAGAAGUAUAUUAUGAUGAAGUUCUACAAAAAUUUGUACAAGCAUCCCCUGAUGUAACAUUUGAACUGGUAACUGAGGUCACUGUAGAGCCUCGAGGCACUCAAGGUGGGAAUGAGUCCCAACCACAACCAGCACCAAAUCAAGCCGUCAAUCACUCAACUUCAGUCUUGGCCUCAGCGACCUCACCCUCGGCACCCAGUACCAGCACUGCUGCAGGACAGCUCUUCUUCAAGAGAGCCAAAAGAAGAGCUUCUCAGAUGAGUGAAGUUUUGUCUCUGUCAAAGGAGUUCGUGAAACCUUUGCCAGAGCCCACUCCUGUUGAAAAUGACUCAGCGACUAAUCUGGAUUAGAGAAGGUCACUGAUGAGCCUCAAGACACUCAAGGUGGGAAUGUGUCCCAACCACAACCAGAACCAAAUAACUCAACUUCAGUCUUGGCCUCAGCAGGCUUUCCAGAAACAGUUCCACGGGAAAAAGGGCCAGGCGAAGAGGCAGGCGGGGAACGGACUCUGUAAGAAGAAAGGCGCUACCCUGCAGCCUGCGGCGGCGCCAUGCUUCGCCAUGCUGCUGUACGAGCCCACGGACGUUGCAGCAGGGUCCGCCCCGAGGCCCGAAGCACCGACUACCCAGCCGCUACGACACCUGCCGGCGCUCUCCGUUGAUUCGCGUUUACGUGGUUUUAUCCCCCUCCACCGCCAUCUCACCUGGGCGCCAUGUCCACCUUCAACUACGCGGACCUUUCAAACGUGCAGGACGACAAGUGCAUGGUAGUUGAGUGUA